rnacentral:rRNA from 1 species
UGGAUGAUGUGGUUUAAUUCGAUGCAACGCGAAAACCUUACCCACCUUUGACAUGUACGGAACCCUUUAGAGAUAGAGGAGUGCUCGAAAGAGAGCCGUAACACAGGUGCUGCAUGGCUGUCGUCAGCUCGUGUCGUGAGAUGUUGGGUUAAGUCCCGCAACGAGCGCAACCCUUGUCAUUAGUUGCUACAUUCAGUUGGGCACUCUAAUGAGACUGCCGGUGACAAACCGGAGGAAGUGGGGAUGACGUCAAGUCCUCAUGGCCCUUAUAGGUGGGGCUACACACGUCAUACAAUGGAUGGUACAAAGGGUCGCCAACCCGCGAGGGGGAGCCAAUCCCAUAAAGCCAUUCGUAGUCCGGAUCGCAGUCUGCAACUCGACUGCGUGAAGUCGGAAUCGCUAGUAAUCGUGGAUCAGAAUGUCACGGUGAAUACGUUCCCGGGUCUU